CAUCACUGCACAAUUAUCAAAAGUCAUUAUAAAGCGCACAAACUCGUUGCAAGUUUCCAGAAAGUCGUCAUGUCAGUCUUCUCUAGAGUCCCCAGUAAUAAGCAACUAUGAUGCUCAUCUUGAUCGUCAAAUUUCUCAUUUUAAUAACAUUUUGUGAUGCGAUGACCAUGAAGCAGAUAAAAGCUACCGGGAAAACCAUACGAAAAACUUGUCAACCAAAAAACAACGCGGCAGAUGAAAAAAUAGAUCCUCUAGGUAAAGGGGAGUUCAUCGCGGAGAAAGAAGUUAUGUGUUACAUGGCUUGCGUUAUGAAAAUGGCUGGCACUGUCAAAAAUGGAAAACUGAGCUACGAUGCCGCGAUAAAGCAGGCGGACUUGCUCUUACCGGAGGAAAUCAAAGAGCCCGCAAAGGCGGCUUUGACUGCAUGCAAGAAAGUUCCGGACGCCUACAAGGAUAUCUGCGAAGCUGCAUUUCACGUAACAAAAUGUGUUUACAACCAGAACCCUGACAUAUUUUACUUUCCUUAAUAAAUGUUCAUAUACUUAGGGCCACUUUAACCAUCCUACUAACUCGGGGUUAACCGGUUAAACCUGGGUGACAAUUUAUUUGACACUGAGGGCUACCGCGAACCACGUUCGACGUGUUGCCUCCCUGUCACACUUACGUACGAAUUUACAAGUGCGACAGAGAGGCAACACGUCGAACGUGGUUCGCGGUAGGCCCUCUGGAUUAACGGUUUAACCGCUUAGCCCCGGCUUAGCAGGAUGGUGCAAGUGACGCGCGCUUAGUGGUAAAAAGUGAUUGUUUUAUUUGACCUGUUAACAUCCUGUUAAUCAUAUUUUGUUGGUAUGAAAACUUUGUAAUAACACUAUACAUUUAUAGGAUUUGAAGUUUUUUCUCAAUUCCUCGUAGUUUUAAUUACGAGUAGGUGAACUUCAUUAUGUUAUGACAAAAAAAAACAAUCAGGAAAAAUUAAUGAAGUUAAUAAUAUAGCGUUACCGCGUUGUAGUAAUAUGAUAUAUUUAAAAUAACAGCCCCCCGUAUUCGAACUUCAAGAUAUUCACAAGAGACGACACGUACUAGAUCCAUUCUAGAUACGUUAUAGUUUAGAUAUCAACUAGUUCUCUUGUGCAGCGCAAUUCGGGCAACCAAUGUCACUUUUACGAUAGAUAGAGUAAGAUAUCUAUUAAAUGUGAAUUGGAUCUCUAAGUCAUAUCCUGUGGAAAACGUUCAAGAGAAUCAAGAGUAUCUCCAGAAUCGCGCAAUUGUCAAAUUUGACAGGUUAGAUCUUAAUCAUAUCGUUAUCGUAUCUUGGUGAUGACUAAAAGAUAUCUAAUAAUGUCUAUUUCAAAAUCCGAAUCGGGCCCAGCGUCUCUGAGAAAUUAACUUAAUCAGUGCUCAGAAAUGCACCCUUGAAAUAUAUUUUAUUUAUGAAAAUAGUUUCCUCUAACUAUCUCUAUCUACUUAAUAUCACACUACUUUAUAUAGCGUCUGUUUAUACACUACCUUUAUUUUUUACUAAGUUCGACUACCUUUUUAGGAUUCCGUACCUCAAAAGGAAAAAAAGGAACUCUUAUAGGAUCACUCGUGCGUAUGUCUGUCUGUCAGUCUGUCACAGCCUAUUUUCUCGGAAACUACUGGACCAAUUAAGUUGAAAUUUGGUACACAUAUGUAAAUUAGUGACCCAAAGAUGGACAUAUUAUUUUUAUAAUUUUAAAAUACAUAGGUUCGAAGUUAUUUAAGAAAAAUAGCCAAAAAAAUACCAUUCCCUUUACCUCCGAAACUACUGGGUCUAAAAUUUUGAAAAAAAUACUCAAAAUAGUUCUUUACAUAUAGAUGACAGAACCUAAAACCUAUUAGAAAUGUGCAGUCAAGCGUGAGUCGAACUUAUGUACGGAACUUUAAUAACAAAACUAAUAUAUUUAAUUAUGUACGGAACCCUAGAAACGCGAGUCCUACUCGCACUUGGCCGGUUUUUUUACCAUGGGACUAGUAUUACAGGAGAUAUUUUUGCCUUAAUCAAACAAAAAUACCUAGCAUAUAUAAAUGCAUUUGUAUUUGUAUAUUAUGUGAAUCAGGAAACAAUAACAUCAAUAAAAAUUCAAAGAAAAUGUAUUAAUGUAGAUACCCCUAGGUAGGCAUAUAAUCAUUAAAUAGUAAAUAGGUAGUCAGGUUUAUUCAUAAAUUAUACCCCGUCACAAGUAUAUAAGUAGUUAAUGAAAAAACACAGCGAAUGUAAUAUGGAAAAUAGAUAGUCAUCAAGUACCAUCAUUAUAAAAAUUGCCAGUGCAAAGCUAACGAUUCGGAACUAAUGUCCAGCAACGACAAUCAUGCGUGGUAGGAAGGUCACUGGAGUUUCGGAAGCUAAUUGUAGUAAUUGUACACUCAGCACCAAUUAUUAAGUAAUUUCUUUAUUGUUUCAAGUACCUAAGCACUUUUUUUAAAACGUGAGCAAGCACAAUGACACUGUAAGGGUUAAAAUGAUUAAUGACUAUAGUUCGUUUUUUUGCAUUAGAAAGAAGAUAAGAUGGGAAAGGUGGACGGCAGGCGGCCUAGAGGACCAAGUCCAACGAAACGGUGUGACCAAAUAUCCGCCCACAUGGACAUCACACAAAGCAACCGACAGGGAGAAGUGGAGAGCUACCAUAAGGAAAAUUAGUACCUAUGCGGAGUCACGAUCCUCAGCAGACCUAUUUAGAAGAAGAAGAUAUAUUUUAAACGUUCAGGGUCCAUGCUGUUCCAAUUUAAUGUAUCAUACUCGUAACACCUGUAUGUAGGUACCAUGGAUCGCAAUGAAUAAAUGAAAUGAAUCCUUA